rnacentral:rRNA from 1 species
GUCUACAGCCAUACCACCCUGAAUGCGCCCUAUCUUGUCUGAUCUCGGAAGCUAAGCAGGGUCGGGCCUGGUUAGUACUUGGAUGGGAGGAAAUGUCUGUAAUACAUAAU